GUGCGGAUCGCAUAGUGGUUCUUGCACCCGCCUGCAGAGCGGGAUACCCGGGUUCGAUUCCCGGUCCGCACU
rnacentral:tRNA from 1 species